AAUCAACGCUGGCGGCGUGCCUCAGACAUGCAAGUCGAACGCGAAAGGCCCCUUCGGGGCUGAGUAGAGUGGCGUCCGGGUGAGUAACACGUGGGUAAUCUACCUUCGGGUGGGGAAGUAACAGUCGGAAACGACUGCUAAUACCGCAUAAUGCAGCGGCACCUAAUGGUGGACAGUUGUUAAAGCGGGGGAUCGCAAGACCUCGCGCCUGAAGAGGAGCCCGCGGCGGANAGUCUAGUUGGCAGGGUAACGGCCUACCAAGGCGACGAU
rnacentral:rRNA from 1 species